CCUACGGGAGGCAGCAGUCGAGAAUUUUUCUCAAUGGGGGAAACCCUGAAGGAGCGACGCCGCGUGGAGGAUGACGGUCUUCGGAUUGUAAACUCCUGUCAUUUGAGAACUAGUAUCAGAAGAGGAAGGGACGGCUAACUCUGUGCCAGCAGCCGCGGUAAUACAGAGGUCCCGAGCGUUGUUCGGAUUCAUUGGGCGUAAAGGGUGCGUAGGCGGUCGCGUAAGUCGGAUGUGAAAUCUUGGGGCUCAACCUCAAAACUGCAUUCGAUACUGCGAGGCUAGAGGAUUGGAGAGGAGAGUGGAAUUCACGGUGUAGCAGUGAAAUGCGUAGAGAUCGUGAGGAAGACCAACGGCGAAGGCAGCUCUCUGGACAUUCUGACGCUGAGGCACGAAGGCCAGGGGAGCAAACGGGAUUAGAUACCCUUGUAGUC
rnacentral:rRNA from 1 species